CCCCAAAGCCGUCAUAAAGAAGACAGACUCUAAUGGAAUGAAUGCCCUCCUCAAGGGCCUGGCUGCCCACAGUGAGGAGGAUGCAUGGAAGCAUUCACACACAGCCUCACAGGGUCUGUGUCACUGGUUCAUGGCCAUUGUCAUUAAUUGGCGGCUAUAAUUCAAUGUGAGCUGUGACCACAAAACUACAAUACCAAGAGGCAAAGAUCACUGGGACCCAUCCUGAAGACAGCUGACCACAUCUCUGCCCCUUACGCGCACUAAUCUUCAUGUCUGAAUCUUCUCUAUGGAGAACGAGGAGGGGAAGGAAGGAUUUGACGACCGGCUGGAGACCAUGAAGACGGAUCAGCAAAGCAACCCAGGGUGCCCUGAAACAGUUAGAGCGCCCCCUCCUCCCCUUCCUUACUCCCCAAACACUGCCUCUGCGGAACGACCUAGCGGAAAUUGCAGGGCACGACUCCACUCUAAGCCUGGCGCUGCCAACUGG
rnacentral:lncRNA from 1 species